GGACUCUGAGAUCUUCCCUUGGGAAUGAGCAUAUUAGACACCCUAGCCCUGGAGUCUGACAGUAGGAGAGCUGGACCAAUUGACUGACUUGAAAACUAGUAGAACUGACAUCCAGGCUGUAAAAAACCUAGACUUCAUUCAUGAAGGGCUCACACACAGUCGCUCACUCCUGAAACAAAGUGGAAGCAGCAGAUUGAAACUGCCCAGGACUCUGGCUGGUUUCCUAUGACCACCCUAGCAUGUGCCCCAACCUGAGCAUUUUUUACAUAGUAACUAUGAAUGUUGUCAAGUUGUUUAACGUCCCUGUAUUUAUUUCCCCAUCUAUAAGGAAUAUAAUUAUCUUGAGCAGUUUUAUAAAGAGCAUAAAUAAUGUAUGCAAAGUGAACUGUACAAAUUGCUUCCAGGUAGAUGGAAGUUAUAAUGCCCAGGAAUAACUUCAGAAAAUAGUACCAUGAACCUGAAUGAAUUUUAACCAAAGAAAUACAGGCCUUCUCAAUAUGUAAAAUGUGGUCUUUAAUAACCUUAUGUAGCCAGGACCAGGAUUUCAUCCCUCAGGCCAACUCUAAAACUGCUUUAAUGAGUCAACAGCAAUGCUUUCAUAAUUAUGGCACCAUCCAACCCACCAUGCAAAUCUGUUAAGGUGUCUUUGUUGUUUUGAGGGGUUAGUAGGGUAAUGUGCCCUAUUAUCCAUUUACCAUUAGAAAAGCUGCAAAUGACUUUUACAGUAAAAAACACAUGACAAAAUUAAAAGCAAUUGGUUUGUCUAUAAUUUAUAACAUGUUCACUUAAAUAUAUACAUAUACAUAUACAUUUAAAUGUUUUCAAAACUUUGUGCGUAUUUACAGUCACCUAAGUACCUCUAAGACUUGUGGAUCAGAAUUUGAACAAAAGAUGUAUUUUGGAUGAAUUAUUUUAUAUAAAGAGAUAUCUUUAUUCAUUCAUACCUUGCAAGUAUUUUGCAGUGAAAUUCUUUUUAUGAUAUUUACAUUUUAACAUAACUAGUUUAUUCAGGUAUCUGUUUUCAUUUAUCUGGUUUCCAAUAGAUUCUCCACCCUAGAGGAUAAAAACUUUCUCUGCCAGCAGGGAAAAUCUAAUGCCCCCAAGUUUUGUUUGGUCAGGAAAGAAUUUUAAGACUGAUUAUUGGAAUUUCAGCACAUGUUAAGCAGGGCAGCAUUCUCCAGUGUACCAUUGCUCUAACAAUCCCUGUUUCUUUACUCCUUACUGGUAGCUUCUUCGUCUAUAAAGAUUUUAUUUUGCCAUCUUUGUCCUUCACCAUCACCAGAGUAUUCUCAAGAGUUCUAACUGGCUCCCCUAUUAGCCUUAUAUACACUCUGACACGUCCUUCAGGAUCCUUUAUUUCCCUUUCAAUUUUGUUUCCCCAGGAAGGAAAAGGCAAUUAGCAUUUAUUGAGGAUGUAGUGCUUUGCAGACAUUGUGUUGUGUGUUGCAUUAAUUUACAUUUUUUGGUUCUCAUGAUAAUCUCAUAUUUAAAAAAUAAACAGAGGUUAAGAGAGUUUAAGGAACUUUGUCCAAAGUAGUAAUUGAUAAAGAAUUUAAACCAGGGCCUCCCUCACUUCAAAUCAUUUACUUUUUCCACUAUCCAAGUGGAGGAACAAUUGUGGUAGAAAUCCUAAGACAUAAAGAAUGUGUGAGUGCAGAGUAGAAUCAAGACCAUGUGAUAAACUGAACUGAUCAUGUUGCAUACAAAUACACCAGAAAGCUCAAGUUCUUUGAGCUUGACAAAGAACCAAUGAGAAAGAGUAUAUAGGAAGGCACUUUCAGCCAACAUAAAUGGCUCUCUGAAGGCAGCCUGAGUCUGUAAAGGAAUUGAGAACUAAAGAUGCUGACAACAUAAAAUGUAGUUCAGGAUACCAGGCUCCAUUGACUUGAUAUGCUUUUUAAUUUAAGUACAAGUAACUAAGAAUGAACCCUCUGAGAACAGAAAACUAUAAAAUUUCAGCAUGCCUUUUCUCAUGGUUAUCUAAAAAUGCCUCUUUUUCUUUAAGAUUUUUUUUCUCAAAUCAUUUUUUUGUGCCGAAAUAAUAUUAUUUGUAACAAGUUUUUUAAAUGACUUGAGCCAUAUAUAUUGUUGCCAUGCAAAAUAUAGAUGUAAACCUGAGAAAUUAACAUUUACUCUUCCUUUCUUUUAACAACCAUGUAAUGAGCACCACCAGUUUUAUGCUGGGCUACCUCUGUGAGACCCAUAAAGAGGAAUAAUGAAGCAGCCAUUGAUCACAGGAGCUAACAAUUCAGCAGGGAAGGCAACAAGCACAAAUGCACACAGUAUCUACAGUUGUUACAAAGUGUACUUCAUGAGCGGUAUUGAGAAAUGGGGCUAAGAAAGGGAAAGAUCAAUUUGAUUUUGGAAUAUCAUGAAGAUUUCAUGAAGUCAGUAGAUAAAGCAGUGUUUGUAGACAAGCACAAUAGAAGAUCAAGAUUUAAUCUGUUCUCAUUUCCUAUUUGCUGUUUAAAUCUCUAUACCUCAUUUGACCUUUCUCAUUUGUAACAGGAGAUUUAAAACUUUUAUCUUAAGGACAGAUUGUGUACCUAAAUAUAAAAGACAAAAAUUAAGGGGUUUAGGAAAAAAUUGCAGGUGAAAAUCUUUGUGAUCUUAGAAUAAGAAAAUUUUCCUUAAACAUUACACAAAGAUGAUAAGAACAUAUUAAUCUUUGGCCUUCAUCAACCAGUAAGAGAGUGGAAGACAAAAUGAACAGACCAGAAAAUGUGAAGAUACUGGUGAUACUGUUUCUGAAAAGUGACCCAUAUGUGGAAUAUUUUUAAAAAAUCCUACAUGGUUGAAUAAGGAAAAGACAUUGAAAAAUAAGUGAGAGACUUGCCAGUCACAUCACAAGACGGGAUGCCCGCUUGCCCCAUAAACAUGAAGAAUCUUCUACCUCAUUUAUUUUUGGAGAAAUGAAAAACAGAAUGACAGUAUAUGUGGUUUUACUAAAAGAGUGGAAGUGACAAGAAACUUCCAAAAGUUGAGGAUAUGGAGGAAUUAGAAUUCUCAUGCACUCUCUUUGGGAGUAUAAAUUGAUAAAACCACGUUGGAAGCUGUUUCACAGUUUCCAAUAAAGUGUAAGCUUAUCCUGUGACUCAGCAAUUCCAGCAUUAAGGAUAUACCGUUCUUUGUUUUCUAUUGCUACUGUAACAAAUAAGCACAUACUUAAUGCCUUAAAAUAACACAGAUAUUCCAACACAGUUCUUUAGAUCAAAAGCCUGUUCAGGUCUCUUUGGACUAAAAUAAAGGUGUCUUAUGUUCCUUUCUGCACACUCCAGGUUUGGGUACUUUCUGAAGACAUUCCCAACUUCUAGACCCUUUCUGCUUUCCUCAUGUCCUGGCCUCUUCCUCUAUAUUAAUGCCAGGAAUGUUGGAUUCUCUCUCUCCGUCUCUUUUGGUCUUUCACUCUUUGCCUGUCUCUCUUUGUAUCUUUAUGUUUCUCUCCCUCUAUCAGUCUCUCCUUUUCUCUCUCUGUUUUUCUUCCUGUCUUUCUCAUCCUGUUUUCUCUCUCUGUAUUUCUCUUUCUCCCAUCCUUCUCUCUCUAUCUUUCUCUUGCUCUGUCUCUCCCUCACUCAUUGUCACUAGGAAAGUUUUUCUGCUUUUAAAGACUCAUGUGAUCAAUCAAGCCAUUAACCCCAUCUCAAAGUUCUUGACUUACCCAGAUGUAUAAAGUUCUAUUAGUCAUGUAACAUACCGACACAUUUGAGGAUUGAGAAAGUAGAUAUAAAUUUCAAAAACAGGCAAAAUUAGUCAAUAUAUCAGAAACCAUGAUAGGGAGUACCCUCUUGGAGGAUGUGAUUUAUGACUGGAAGAGAACAUGGAUGGGGCAAUCUUCAGUGGUGAUAGAAUUGUUCUGUUUCUUAUCCUAGGCACUGGGUAAAUUUGUUUAGUUUGUGAAAAUUAUGUAUGUUAGCUUAAUUACUACAUUUUAAAAAUCUGUUGUCCAAGCUUCACGGAGCAGUAGAUAUAAUAACCAAAUUACAUAGCAAUAUCAAAAAUUGUCUUUAUUAGACUCUACUGUUUCACAGAUGUUCUAUUAAAUGUGUUUCUGUUCGCAGAUAUUAGCCCCAUUUAACAAAAGAAGGGGCUGAGAAUCAGAUGUGUAUUAAGUAGCAUAGCUAAUAAAGGUCAUCCGUACCUUAACUUAAACCAAGGCUCAUACUUAAAAGCCUUUGAGUUUUAUUCCAUGACAUUGGGAUCAGGAGAAUCUCUUAGAUCUAUAGAAUUCGUGGCAAGCCUGGAAUGUGGAUAUUCAAUACAAAAGCACUCUAAGAUCUAGAUAUAUUAUAUGAAAAUUAAAAAUGCUAAGAAAGUCUAAACAAUAAUGCAGAUGUCAUUCAAUUAUUAUUAAGAAAUUUAAAGACAGCACAGUGUAUUCAGUGGAAAUAUGAAAAGACUCAGAGUCUGAGGCAAUAACUCAUUUGAGUUUAUCUGCCUCUUUUAAGCACCUUGCCUCCAUUCUCCCGAUUUGAUUUGUUUAACCUCCAAUUGAAGAACUCAGCACCAUACAGGCCAUAGG
rnacentral:lncRNA from 1 species